rnacentral:misc_RNA from 1 species
GGUUUGAUCAUGGCUCAGAUUGAACGCUGGCGGGAUGCUUUACAUGCAAGUCGAACGGCAGCACGGACUUCGGUCUGGUGGCGAGUGGCGAACGGGUGAGUAAUGUAUCGGAACGUACUAUUAGCGGGGGAUAACUACGCGAAAGCGCCAGCUAAUACCGCAUACGCCCUUCGGGGAAAGCGGGGGACCUUCCCGGGCCUCGCACUAUUAGAGCGG